rnacentral:rRNA from 1 species
AGGAGAGUUUGAUCCUGGCUCAGGAUGAACGCUAGCUACAGGCUUAACACAUGCAAGUCGAGGGGCAGCAUGAUCGAAGCUUGCUUUGAUUGAUGGCGACCGGCGCACGGGUGAGUAACGCGUAUCCAACCUUCCCUAUAGUAGAGGAUAGCCCGGCGAAAGUCGGAUUAAUACUCUAUGUUUUCCAAUGCAGACAUCUAAGUUGGAACAAAGGUUCACCGCUAUAGGAUGGGGAUGCGUCUGAUUAGGUUGUUGGCGGGGUAACGGCCCACCAAGCCAACGAUCAGUAGGGGUUCUGAGAGGAAGGUCCCCCACAUUGGAACUGAGACACGGUCCAAACUCCUACGGGAGGCAGCAGUGAGGAAUAUUGGUCAAUGGGCGAGAGCCUGAACCAGCCAAGUAGCGUGCAGGAUGACGGCCCUAUGGGUUGUAAACUGCUUUUAUACGGGGAUAAAGUGAGGGACGUGUCCCUUAUUGUAGGUACCGUAUGAAUAAGGACCGGCUAAUUCCGUGCCAGCAGCCGCGGUAAUACGGAAGGUCCGGGCGUUAUCCGAAUUUAUUGGGUUUAAAGGGAGCGCAGGCCGACUGGUAAGCGUGACGUGAAAUGUAGCCGCUCAACGGCUGAACUGCGUCGCGAACUGUCAGUCUUGAGUGAGUUCGAUGUUGGCGGAAUUCGUGGUGUAGCGGUGAAAUGCUUAGAUAUCACGAAGAACUCCGAUUGCGAAGGCAGCCAACAAGGCCUUUACUGACGCUAAAGCUCGAAGGUGCGGGUAUCGAACAGGAUUAGAUACCCUGGUAGUCCCCU